CCUACGGGAGGCAGCAGUGAGGAAUAUUGGUCAAUGGGCGAGAGCCUGAACCAGCCAAGUCGCGUGAGGGACGACGGUCCUAUGGAUUGUAAACCUCUUUUGUCGGGGAACAAAGGCGCCCACGGGUGGGCGGCUGAGUGUACCCGAAGAAACAGCAUCGGCUAACUCCGUUCCAGCAGCCGCGGUAAUACGGAGGAUGCAAGCGUUAUCCGAUUUUAUUGGGUUAAAAGGGUGCGUAGGCGGACAGUCAGGUCAGCGGGAAACAUGCGGUGCUCAACGCCAUACAGCCGUUGAAACUGGCAGUCUUGAGUGGGCGAGAAGUAUGCGGAAUGCGUGGUGUAGCGGUGAAAUGCAUAGAUAUCACGCAGAACUCCGAUUGCGAAGGCAGCAUACCGGCGCCCUACUGACGCUGAGGCACGAAAGCGUGGGUAUCGAACAGGAUUAGAUACCCCGGUAGUC
rnacentral:rRNA from 1 species